UUCAGUAUUAUCGGGAUCAAAUAGUUAUUAUCGCUUUUCACUCGCCAUUCGAGUUGCUACAUCAAAUGAAAUGGACUGAGGACCGCCUCUCGAGUGUAAAAGAUUUCCUUGCGUCGACCGACAUAUUAACGUAAAGGCGGUUCGUUUGGAAAUGGAACGUAACGUUCGGUUACAGAAGUAAACAAUAUGCGACGCGCGAGAGUACCACAAAUGUAAACUUAUCUCCAUCCAGCACCAACGGUCCUCGCUUAUGAAUGAGCGCCAGCCAAUCAAAACAUUCGAGACCUUCGACUUUACUGUUGUGUCUCGUGGACUUUUCCGGAUCAUUCAGUUCAGGAUCGGCGAGCGCGCGCGACACACACACUACGGACUAUGUGUAUCGGUGCAUUAUUGAUUACUCCUCGCGGGUGAUUAAACUGUAUUCCUUGUGAGAUACUUAAUUAGUCUCUCGUCGGCAUCGCGUUAUUUAACACGUGCAUCUUCGAUCGAAUCGUGUCAGUGUCAGUGUCAGUGUCACGACGAAGGAUAUCGGAUCGAGAAGCCAGGACAGAGGACGUAGGACGUAGGACGCUGGGAUGUGAGCACCGAUACAUUAUCGUAUUUUCAAGAUUCCUCUUGAUGGAAGGCAGCACUGUCCUGACUCCGAAGAGUGGCUCGGCAGGAAUUCGCUCAAGCGGUCGACCACUUCAGCCAGAUGUUAAUUAGCGAUGCAGCCUUUAAUUGCAAACGUACCGAGCGCGCGAAAAUUUAGAGCCUCCUUUUCGGAGUGGUUCCGGAUAAGAGUGGAAGGAAAUGAACGCAGGACUUGCAGAGAAAGAGAGGAAAGUUCUCGAGCGGGGGAUGCGACCCCUCGCGGGUAGGGAUGCAUCACCGGGUGCACAACGAUUCGGCGUGUUGGUACGGGCGUCCCGCACUCGAGUGGAAGUACUAGAAUUGAAAAUCCAUUAUCUCUGUUUUUGCGCGAGGGCCGACGAAUAUUUACGCCCACGCUCCGAGAGCGAGUUUCUCAACGUGGCGAAAACAGGCGCGAUCUUCGCGCCGCAUUUCGUAACGUUAGCGUGAUAUCGAGCGCCGUCGUUGAAACGAUACAAGAUUACAGUUUAAUUGUUUGGAACGCUAAUCGAUUUUGCUGCGCAGAUUAAUGGUCAAUUUUGUUAGUCGUGUAUUGUACGCGUGGUCUCUGUUAAUAGUGGAAAAUAAAACAGCACGCAGUAAAUCACGAAACAGUAUAAGACAAUUACGUUAAUAUAUAAUGUAUAAAAAACAAAUAAAAUUGAACUUGUAUAAAGAUGUACGACUUAAUAUAUUUCAAUCUUCUAAAUAUAAGCCGCUUUCGAAGCGUUCUAAGAACGUGUUAGAACUGUUUCGAAAGUGGUGCUUUCGAGUUCAACUUAGGAAAAGAAUCGAUGAUUUGACUUUUAUGCUUACAAAGCAAUGUGUGAGGACAAAGAGAAAUGCGAGAGAAAUGGAUCAAAGCCUAGACUUAUAUCACUUUCAAAACAAGCAAUUUACAUGUAGUUGCUUUUGCAUAUAUAAUUGACAGUUAUGUGUGUGUGUAUAUGGUUGUUUAGAAUUAAUAGUUAACGACGACAUUUACUCGGACAUGGUGAGACGCGAAUACAGUUAUACCCGAGGGCGAAGGAGCGAUAAUUUAAAAACCCUGGCAGUGGCAACGAGUCGACGAAAGCGCUUCGGAAAUAUUGCGAGAUUAUUCACGACUACGACACUGCCAGAUUAUUCGCCGAAUCGGCGCAAGAUUAACGAUGUCGAGCGGAAGGGCACACCGCCGGGAAAAAUAACGGGUUACUCGAGCGAGGCAUAAAAGGAGAGAGAUAAAACGGCGAGUCGCAAUAUUGAAAAGCAUCGA